rnacentral:rRNA from 1 species
GUGGGGAAUAUUGGGCAAUGGGCGCAAGCCUGACCCAGCAACGCCGCGUGAGGGAAGAAGGUCUUCGGAUUGUAAACCUCUGUCCUUGGGGACGAAAAAAAUGACGGUACCCAAGGAGGAAGCUCCGGCUAACUACGUGCCAGCAGCCGCGGUAAUACGUAGGGAGCGAGCGUUGUCCGGAAUUACUGGGCGUAAAGGGUGCGUAGGCGGCUAGGCAAGUCAGAUGUGAAAUCCCCGGGCUUAACUCGGGUGGUGCAUUUGAAACUGCUUGGCUUGAGUGCAGGAGAGGAAAGCGGAAUUCCUAGUGUAGCGGUGAAAUGCGUAGAUAUUAGGAGGAACACCAGUGGCGAAGGCGGCUUUCUGGACUGUAACUGACGCUGAGGCACGAAAGCGUGGGGAGCAAACAGGAUUAGAAACCCCGGUAGUCC